UCAGCCCAAAGCAACCCCUGGGCAUGGCCUUCCAGGCCCAAUCUCCAGGCAGUGCCCACUUGCGACUGGCAAGGUUUUUGCGCCAGAGGGAUGGACGGGCAGCUCUAGCCCCAGAUGGGAGGAAGGGGAGAGUGGAGGAGAGCAGCUGAGGACCAAAGCUGGAGCCCUCCUUUGUGUCCUCUUCGGUCAGCGUGGACUCGGGCUCCAGGGGCAGCAAUCGUGAAAGGAGCAUCUGGGAUAAACAGAGGAGAGCAGGAUGAUGCCUGUGCUUCUGGUGGGUGUCCCAGAGGAUGCUGUUCUGUACUUCCCAGUCGCAUGUGGCCAUCCAGAAACAGCUGAGUCAGUGUGCUCGAGGACUCCUGCUGCCGCAGGACGGCCGCAGGCAGGCGCAGCUCUGCUGGAACGCCCCGGUUGCAUGAGUCAGAGUCAGUCCUUUCCUGAGUGAAAGGCAGAGCGGUGUCUGGGACUGAGCAAAGUAUACACUGCACAGCAGUGAAGGAGCCAGCAUGUCAGUCCAGUCACUGAUUGCCAAACCCUCCUUCCAGAAAGGUGACUGUGUGGAUCUCCUGAAGGAAAAAGUUCAACACUUGUAGUGGAGAAGUAUGGCCCAAAGGGAUCAAAAUAAGCUACAGCAGCUGCUUCUGCAGCCAGGCCAGAAGGGAACAGAGCAGCAUGCUCGAGUUGCUGGGUGAACCCAGGAUGAUCACAACUGCAGGAAGGUGGUAGAUCCUCAGAGACAGAGACUGCAGCUCUGCAGCAGAAAGGAGGAGGACCCUUCCCAUUCCUGCCCAGCUGGUGACUAGUCUGCUUUCUAGACAGCUGACAAGGGCCGUUCAAGGAGUGCCAGGACUGACUUGAAAACUGAUGUGGCAUUCCUGAAAGGAAAGAACAUUAGUGCCAGUUUUACUUGAAACAUAAUUGGAUUUGCAGCAACAACCUUCCAGAAAGCAAUGAGACAAUCAAGGGUAUCAGGAUACUUAGUAAGUUAUCAAAUUAGCAUUAUUAAAAGUUAAUUCUAAAGUUUUAGUGCUGGGUAUCUUUGUUUUUUGUACAAGAAAAAGAUGCAGGUACCUUCCCCUCAAAACCCUGCUUGGCUUUACAGGACAAGAGCUUCAAAAAGGAUGAAAUAUAAAAGGGCCUAAACCCAGCACAAGCAGAUUGGUCCUGUGUUAAAAGCUGAAUAGUGUAGUAUAAGCACAUA